rnacentral:rRNA from 1 species
UACGUAGGGGGCAAGCGUUGUCCGGAUUUAUUGGGCGUAAAGAGCGUGUAGGCGGCCUGACAGGUCUGCUGUGAAAACUCGAGGCUCAACCUCGAGAUGUCGGCGGAAACCGUCUGGCUAGAGUCCGGAAGAGGAGAGUGGAAUUCCUGGUGUAGCGGUGAAAUGCGUAGAUAUUGGGAAGAACACCAGCGGCGAAAGCGCGCUACUGGGCCAUUACUGACACUCAUGGACGAAAGCUAGGGGAGCGAAAGGG